GUCUUGUUUAACUCUCAACGAAUCUUGGGAAUAAUCCCAUGUCACAGGUGAGGAAAAUAUGGACCCAGUUUGCACAGGAUGAGGAUGGAGAAGCACCCCCAGCCCUAGCCCCUGCAUUUAAGGAACUCAAUCUAGAGAGAAAUGAAGACAAGUAAACCCAGCACCAGGACACAGGAAAGACAGCAGGGACUCUUUUCUGUCCCCCUCACUUUUGGCAUUCCCUUCUUGAGCUGAUGGCACUUCCCCUAAAUUCCUGGUGUGGGCGGCCUCUUGUCCGCAUGGGAGAAGCCCCAGUAGGAAGAGAAAGCUCCAUCUUCAGGAGGAUGUUGGCCUGUACUUGGGACACACCUGCUCCUAUCUUUUUGUCUGACACUGAGGACCUAUUCAUCUCUUUUAUGGAAUAAAGAGCGUCUUGCCUAUUGGUUUUUUCUGAUUGUCAA